UCGGAACCACUAGCUGAAAUCAGUAACUAAACCAUCGGUUGGGGUGUUGGUAGUCGCUUGAUCAGAUGUUGUGAAGUGGCUCGUGUGGCUUUUUUGUCAUCUAUCAGCCUACAGACUGUUCCUAUAAUCUGAGGAUGGCGGGAAGCGGAUGAAGAAAGCUGCUCCUCCAGGAGUCUUCGUAAGGUAUAGUAUAACAAUACCAACGGUUGAAUGUCGAAAUGGUUCCUUCAACGUGUGUUGAGUAUUUUAUCUACAGUGUUUUGAUAAAAUAUAGGCUUAUGCUGUUGUCCUUUGCAGGUUAAAAGUCGAAAUGGUUCCUUUAGCGUGUGUUGACAAUUUAUAAAAUAAAAUAUCGGUUUUUUCGGACUGUGCUAGUUCCCGUUAGAGGUUCUUCGUGUGGUCAUUUAAGAUGCCCUGGGCAUCUUCAAUUACGACGGAUGAACAGCUUAUAGAAGCCCAGAACUUAAAUUUUCCUUCCACGGGCUGAUGAACCACUUAAGGGCUGAUUAACCGCUUAAAGAAGACUAGAACCAAGAGUCUUGGUUUACCUACCGGUUGAUUCAACUAAGUAGACUUCUCUUUACACAAGGUGACAAUAGGUUCGCGUAUUUUCCACACUUUGUAAUUUUUGUCAAUGAAAGUAAAAGAAACUA